UAUGACAAAUGAAUGACAUGUCAGUUUCUAAAACCCCCUGGACCUUAUCCUUAUCCUCCUUAUGGGAAGCCAUUACUAAAGUUAUAAUCAUAAAUACUCUGUUGGUUCUAUUAUUUGACUCCUGCAUACUUAAUUGAUUCUUUGCCUUUGUCUUCUUUAGACUUAAAGCUGUACACCCACCCAAGAUAAGAGCCAGAUGUCUUGUGAUUGUGGAGGAGAUAGAUACCUUCCACUGUGGGCAGAUCCCAAGACAAAAGGCUAAACUUGAGCCUCAAACCCCACAUGGACCCCUUCUUAAUGUGGUGUUUCAUGUUUUCCACAACAGAGAUACAAAUCAAAAGGAAAAAUGACAAUCUAAUCUUUUAGCAGUGAUACUUGGAGCUCUGAAACAGGAGAUCUCAUCACCACCAGAUCCAUUGCUGACUGUUGUACUCGGACAUGCUGCUGAAGAUUGAAAGGACUUGGGGCCCGCAAUCCCCAUUAUGGUGUCCUUCUCAGAGCCCCAAGUCCCCCUGGAGGUCUCAGGAUGGAUAAAAGCCUUUCCCACAUCCUGCUGAUAUACUUAUGAAAGCACUGUCACAGGAAAUCAUCCCCAGGACUACAACUAAAAUGGAGUGGCCCCUACUUGGUCUUCCUCAGAACUUAAAUGUUGGUCAAGGUCACUGGACUCCCAUCCUGGCUUCAUAUCACUCAAGCUAAGUGGUGCCCUCCUAACCCUAAUUCCCCUAACUCUACACAUUCUGAGAGGUCAUCUCAUCUCCUAUCUCCUGCUUCCAUCUCAUCAAGGCCCCAUAGCCAGUUUUCAGGCUAGAUCACGUUUUGUUAUCCUAUUUGAUUCCUGAUCCCUUACAGUCUAUUAGUCAAACUUUUCACUAUAAGUGUCUUAGUGCUCUCUGCCCUCAGCUGUUUAGUCAAUCGUGAGAUCCCUGUGGGCCUGGGCUCUUAUCUGCCUUAUAGUGACACGGCAUGGCCCUCCCCACUCCUCUUAUUCUUUCCAGCUCAACUCCUGGACCAGAGACAAGCCCUACCUACCUACACUUUUAACUUGUACCCUUUAAGAUGGGUAAAUAAUCACCUCUCAUAACUUCACUCCUCCCAACCCCACAUUUAUUUUUCAGAAUUCCACCUCACCGCAGUCCUGAUGGAACAGCAUAUUUAAAUCAAAGACCCCUUUCCUUCUACUUUUCCUGGGUCCUUAAAUAUGAUAGUGGCUGCCUCCUCAUGGCACUUGUCUCUUUGUUUUUCCAAUCUAAGAUGCGGGCAUCAUUCACCAAUGAUGAAGUUGUCCUGGCUAAAACACCUGGCACCAGCUUCUGCAUGGGCAUCAACCGUCAUCCCGUCAAUCUUCCUGAAUCACAAUGUGGUGCCCCCUUUCGGCAGGAAAUAGUAAAAGAGAGACGUUGCCCUUUUCCUAACUAUAAAAAGACGGGAAUGAGAGGUUCUUGGCCCUGGAAUAAAUUACUGUACGGUUAUGGUGGUGGUCUAACAUGGCGGAAGGCCAAAGCGGGAACAUCUACUACUUCCUGCUUCUCCCUCAGCCUUCAUUGCAGCUCCCCUUCCUGUUUGCACGUGAAGAAAACUCCAAUCAGCUCCUUGCUGUCAUCAGUGCCCGCCCUAGGCAUUACCCUGGUCAGAGGUUAUUGUAUAUCUCAUACCCCACGUUUUGGCAGAGGGGACC